AUUGAACGAUGGCGGCAGGUCUAACACAUGCAAGUCGAGAGGAGCGGCGGACGGGUGCGUAAUGCCUAGGAAUCUGCCUGGGAGUGGGGGAUAACGUCCGGAAACGGGCGCUAAUACCGCAUACUAUCAGAUGAGCCUAGGUCGGGUUAGCUAGUUGGUGGGGUAAAGGCCUACCAAGGCGACGAUCCGUAACUGGUCUGAGCGGAUGAUCAGUCAGACUGGACCUGACACACGGUCCAGAUUCAUACGGCCGGGAGCCGUGGGGAAUCUUGGACAAUGGGCGAAAGCCUGAUCCAGCCAUGCCGCGUGUGUGAAGAAGGUGUUGCGAUUGGAGAGCACUUUCGGUAGGGAGGCGUUACCAACACAAUAAGCACCGGCUAACUUCGUGCCAGCAGCCGCGGUAAUUC
rnacentral:rRNA from 1 species